AACGUAGGAGACAAACGUUAUCCGGAGUUACUGGGCGUAAAGGGCGUGUAGGCGGCUAGUUAAGUCUGGCGUGAAAGCUCUCGGCUAAACCGGGAGAGGUCGUUGGAUACUGGCUGACUAGAGGACGGUAGAGGCGUGUGGAAUUCCGGGUGUAGUGGUGAAAUGCGUAGAGAUCCGGAGGAACACCAGUGGCGAAGGCGACACGCUGGGCCGUACCUGACGCUAAAGCGCGACAGCAUGGGGAGCAAACGGG
rnacentral:rRNA from 1 species